rnacentral:rRNA from 1 species
UACGAAGGGGGCUAGCGUUGCUCGGAAUCACUGGGCGUAAAGCGCACGUAGGCGGCUUUCUAAGUCAGGGGUGAAAUCCUGGAGCUCAACUCCAGAACUGCCUUUGAUACUGGGAAGCUCGAGUCCGGAAGAGGUGAGUGGAACUGCGAGUGUAGAGGUGAAAUUCGUAGAUAUUCGCAAGAACACCAGUGGCGAAGGCGGCUCACUGGCCCGGUACUGACGCUGAGGUGCGAAAGCGUGGGGAGCAAACAGG